AUUGAACGCUAGCGGGAUGCCUUACACAUGCAAGUCGAACGAGUGGCGGACGGGUGAGUAAUAUAUCGGAAAGUGCCUAGUAGCGGGGGAUAACUACUCGAAAGGGUGGCUAAUACCGCAUACUAUUGGAGCUGCCGAUAUGGGAUUAGCUAGUUGGUGGGGUAAAGGCUCACCAAGGCGACGAUCCGUAGCUGGUUUGAGAGGAUGACCAGCCACACUGGGACUGAGACACGGCCCAGACUCCUACGGGAGGCAGCAGUGGGGAAUUUGGGACAAUGGGGGAAAGCCUGAUCCAGCCAUCCCGCGUGUAUGAGAAGGCCUUCGGGUUGUAAAGUACUUUUGGCAGAGAAGCGGUAUCUGCAGAAGAAGCACCGGCUAACUACGUGCCAGCAGCCGCGGUAAUAC
rnacentral:rRNA from 1 species